rnacentral:rRNA from 1 species
GACGAGCGCUGGCGGCGUGCUUAACACAUGCAAGUCGAACGGAAAGGCCCUGCUUUUGUGGGGUGCUCGAGUGGCGAACGGGUGAGUAACACGUGAGUAACCUGCCCUUGACUUUGGGAUAACUUCAGGAAACUGGGGCUAAUACCGGAUAGGAGCUCCUGCUGCAUGGUGGGGGUUGGAAAGUUUCGGCGGUUGGGGAUGGACUCGCGGCUUAUCAGCUUGUUGGUGGGGUAGUGGCUUACCAAGGCUUUGACGGGUAGCCGGCCUGAGAGGGUGACCGGCCACAUUGGGACUGAGAUACGGCCCAGGCUCCUACGGGAGGCAGCAGUGGGGAAUAUUGCACAAUGGGCGGAAGCCUGAUGCAGCAACGCCGCGUGCGGGAUGACGGCCUUCGGGUUGUAAACCGCUUUCGCCUGUGACGAAGCGUGAGUGACGGUAAUGGGUAAAGAAGCACCGGCUAACUACGUG